CGUGCAGGCGGAAUGAUAAGUCAGUGGUGAAAUCCUACGGCUCAACUGUAGAACUGCCAUUGAUACUGUCGUUCUUGAGUACAUUUGAAGUGGGCGGAAUGUGUCAUGUAGCGGUGAAAUGCAUAGAUAUGACACAGAACACCGAUAGCGAAGGCAGCUCACUAAACUGUAACUGACGCUCAGGCACGAAAGCGUGGGGAGCGAACAGGAUUAGAUACCCUGGUAGUCC
rnacentral:rRNA from 1 species